UACGAAGGGGGCUAGCGUUGUUCGGAUUUACUGGGCGUAAAGCGCACGUAGGCGGAUCUUUAAGUCAGAGGUGAAAUCCCAAGGCUCAACCUUGGAACUGCCUUUGAUACUGGGGAUCUUGAGUCCGGGAGAGGUGAGUGGAACUGCGAGUGUAGAGGUGAAAUUCGUAGAUAUUCGGAAGAACACCAGUGGCGAAGGCGGCUCACUGGACCGGUAUUGACGCUGAGGUGCGAAAGCGUGGGGAGCAAACAGG
rnacentral:rRNA from 1 species